GUCAGGAUGGCCGUCCUAAGGCGCUGCGUUUAGAUCACAUUCCGGUUCUGUGGGCGUGGGUUCGAAUCCCACUUCUGACA